UACAGAGGGUGCAAGCGUUGUUCGGAAUUACUGGGCGUAAAGCGCACGUAGGCGGACAUUUAAGUCAGGGGUGAAAUCCCGGAGCUCAACUCCGGAACUGCCUUUGAUACUGGGUGUCUUGAGUGUGGAAGAGGUGAGUGGAAUUCCGAGUGUAGAGGUGAAAUUCGUAGACAUUCGGAGGAACACCAGUGGCGAAGGCGGCUCACUGGUCCAUUACUGACGCUGAGGUGCGAAAGCGUGGGGAGCAAACAGG
rnacentral:rRNA from 1 species